rnacentral:sRNA from 1 species
GGGGCGUGGCUACGUGGAAACGAAGUGAAACCACGAGGCAUGUCCCUUUCUAGGAAGGGAAGUUAUCUUCGGAUUGACGCGGAGACCCACCGAGUAGAAAGGCUCUCACCUCUACAGACCGGAACUGGUCACUAGGCACCUUAAGGCGCGGGCAGCACUGUGUGGUUCAGGUGGUUGAGCGGCCAAUAGCUUUGCGUCUUCAUUUAUUCCGGUCAAGAACACCUAAACGUCCCUUGUCGGGCUUGGGGAACAGCUUCAAUUGUUCGGAACUAACCAGAAAACAAUAGCUAUCAACAUCUUGAUGGUUCCUCUAUGGUUUCCCAGUGGUUUCAGAACUUCGCGUCUUUGCUCAGUGAUUUUCACCCAUGUGCUGUAGGGUGUACUGCUGGUCUCGGAGGACAAGCUCCUCACUACCCCUAACAGUGCAAAGUCGUCUGUGAGUUGGCUCAUAGUCACUCUGCUGAGCCAAGCAUGGUUCAGAGUCUGCCAACUUUAAAAUCUGGGAGCAAGCUGGAGAGGUGGCUCAGUGGUUAAGAGCACGACUGCGCUUCCAAGGGUCCUGAGUUCAAAUUCCAGCAACCACAUGGUGGCUCACAGCCAUCUGUAAUGUACUUAUAUAUAAUAAAUAAAUAGACUGCCAUCGGAGAGCAGCAGCCAUGGCCCUGCGCUAGCCCAUGGCCGUGGGCCUCAACAAGGGCCACAUCAGCAAACCAAGACAUAGCCUCACCACAGGCGCCUCACCAGGUUAGUGCAGGACAUGAUCCCGGAGGUGUGCUGCUUCAUGUCCCAUGAGCAGCACGCCCUGGAGUUGCUCAAAGUGUCCAAGGACAAGCGUGCACUCAAGUUCAUCAAGAAGAGGGUGGGCACGCACAUCUGAGACAAGAGAAAGUAGGAGGAGCUGAACAACGUACUGGCAGCCAUGAGGAAGGCAGCAGCCAAGAAGGAUUCCUGAGCCCUUCCCCAAUGAAAAAUCGUUUUGACAAAAAAGUAAAUGAAUCUUAAAA